GGUUGUAGCUCAGUGGUAGAGUGCUUGCCUAGCAUGUGUGAGGCACUGGGUUCAAUCCUCAGCACCA
rnacentral:tRNA from 1 species